rnacentral:lncRNA from 1 species
AGAGAAGAAGGCUCUUCUGCCAAACGUUAUAGGGCGUUUGUGAAGAAGAAAGAUGGAGAGGCACAUGUUGUUACCUCCCAUGUCAAAUCCAGAAGACCCUCUAUGAAGAGGAAGACUAUGCGUCCUGCCAGUAACCAGUACCAGGUGGCUCAUAUAGCACCUGUUUUUAGAGAAAAUUAGCAAUAUCAGCAUCAUAAUCAGAACCAGCAACAGUAACAUCAAUAGUAUCAGCAACAACAGCACCGUCCUCAACAGCAGGCCUACCAGCCUCGAAACAAC